rnacentral:rRNA from 1 species
UACGGGGGGGGGCAAGCGUUGUUCGGAAUUACUGGGCGUAAAGGGCUCGUAGGCGGCCAACUAAGUCAGACGUGAAAUCCCUCGGCUUAACCGGGGAACUGCGUCUGAUACUGGAUGGCUUGAGUUUGGGAGAGGGAUGCGGAAUUCCAGGUGUAGCGGUGAAAUGCGUAGAUAUCUGGAGGAACACCGGUGGCGAAGGCGGCAUCCUGGACCACGACUGACGCUGAGUGAGCGAAAGCCAGGGGAGCAAACGGG